ensembl:lncRNA
UUAAAAACUACCCAUGCAUGGUUGGGACUACAGUAUGUUGUCCUCGAGCCAAAAUACAGGUAGUUUUAUGAUAGAUGUGUGUGGUACUGCACUUUGUCACCGACAUAACCAUUGUUGGUUUCGUUCAUUUCAACUUUUAAUAAGAAAAAUAUUAUAUUUUAUUCCCCAUCUUGUUAUUGGUGUUUUAAUAAUCAAAUAGCCAUAGGGAAAUUAUUGAUCCAAAUAAUUAUUGAAUGCACACACUGUACACUCAGACAAACAAAUCAACAGUGAGAGAGCCAUCUAUUGCUAAUAAACAAAGCAAACAGUAUUUAUCAUGUACACAUACUGCACAGAGGGCUAUUUCAUUUCCCUGUUAUGAUAUCUAACAGUACAUAAGGUAUCAUGUACACCAUACAUGCAAAUGACCAGGGAUAAGGUACCCAUGUCACCCUGAGAAAUGGUGUUCCUCUGUGUUGCUGUUCUAAUAAAUCAUGGGAUGCAUGCUAAUGAUUUUCACUAUUUGUCGUAUAGUACAGUUACUUCAACAGUACUGUAUGUAUGAGAACUGAAAAGAGCAGUUAGAGAGACUAUCUAUAAUGGCACAUUGUGUAUGUAGCUGUAUUAUUUGUGUAUAUCAAUAUAUUCACUAUCCAUCACGAUCUGAUGAGCUAUUAGGACAUUAUCAUUACUAUUAGUUGAGUAUUCAUUUUAAAACAGAUUAACACCCAAUGUAAUGAUAAUAGCUAAGGGGUCAACUGACAUUUUUGUUUGUCCAGGGAUCUCCAGGCCUAAUAAGGGAUACAUUAUUAGAAAACGUUUGACACAGAGAAGGUUGUGGGGCUUCACUGACCAUGUCUGAACAGGCCUAGUCACCCUGACUGACCCCAACUGGUCCAGAUGAUUGACAGGGAGGGGUGGUCAGUUCCUUCGGACGUCUGAGUAGACGGUGGAUGCAGCAUCAGGGGCAGGCUUAUGGGCAGGUUUUUUCACCUGGGUGUACUGGGAUUGGUGGGCCUGGUAGGUGGGUUAGGUCGGCUGACCGGGCCGGUUGUUGACUCUGACCGUAGCGUACUCUGUGGAGGAAAUACCCAGGUUCCCCAGCUGAACUGACCCACCAUCCCUCUUCUGGAAUUGUGUGAUGUCUGCAUAGUUCAGCUCCUAGGAGGAGAGAGGAGAGACAUGUCUUAGUUCAGUCCUGACCAUGACCUGACAAGGACAAACUCAGGGACCUUUUUGUACUGCAUCACAUCUAGAGCUAUAAGCACCAGAGCAGUGGAUAAUUACAAACACAGAGUUAGUUCAGUCAACUUUUUUUGGUUAUUUC